rnacentral:rRNA from 1 species
UUAGGAGUUUGAUCCUGGCUCAGGAUGAACGCUGGCGGCGUGCCUAAUACAUGCAAGUCGAGCGAACAGAUGAGAAGCUUGCUUCUCUGAUGUUAGCGGCGGACGGGUGAGUAACACGUGGGUAACCUACCUAUAAGACUGGGAUAACUCCGGGAAACCGGGGCUAAUACCUGAUAAUAUUUUGAACCGCAUGGUUCAAUAGUGAAAGACGGCUUCGGCUGUCACUUAUAGAUGGACCCGCGCCGUAUUAGCUAGUUGGUAAGGUAAUGGCUUACCAAGGCNACGAUACGUAGCCGACCUGAGAGGGUGAUCGGCCACACUGGAACUGAGACACGGUCCAGACUCCUACGGGAGGCAGCAGUAGGGAAUCUUCCGCAAUGGGCGAAAGCCUGACGGAGCAACGCCGCGUGAGUGAUGAAGGUCUUAGGAUCGUAAAACUCUGUUGUUAGGGAAGAACAAAUUUGUUAGUAACUGAACAAUUCUUGACGUACCUAACCAGAAAGCCACGGCUA